rnacentral:rRNA from 1 species
UGUCAGUCUGUAUAGCUUAAUCGCUGAUGAGCAGCCGGUCUCUUUUAUCUACCCUUGUCUUUUGCGUACCUAUGUUUCCUCGGCAGGCUUGCCUGCCGACUGGACAACCUUAUAACCUUUUUAAUUUUCAAUCAGCGUCUGAAAAACUUAAUAAUUACAACUUUCAACAACGGAUCUCUUGGUUCUGGCAUCGAUGAAGAACGCAGCGAAAUGCGAUAAGUAGUGUGAAUUGCAGAAUUCAGUGAAUCAUCGAAUCUUUGAACGCACAUUGCGCCCCUUGGUAUUCCAUGGGGCAUGCCUGUUCGAGCGUCAUUUGUACCUUCAAGCUUUGCUUGGUGUUGGGUGUUUGUCCUCUCCCUGGUGUUUGGACUCGCCUUAAAACAAUUGGCAGCCAGUGUUUUGGUAUAGAAGCGCAGCACAAGUCGCGAUUCUAACCUGGCAACACUUGCGCCCACAAGCCUUUUUUCACUUUUGACCUCGGAUCAGGUAGGGAUACCCGCUGAACUUAAGCAUAUCAAUAAGCGGAGGAA